CAGGGGCGCUGCUGAGGAUUUUGGGCCCCAUGAAAAGAAUCUUGACAGGGCCCCCAACACAGCUGAGAGUUUUUUCAUAUUAAUUUACAUAAAAUCAUGCUCUUUUAUGGUAUUUUGACUAUCAUUCUCAUAUAUUUAAGUCAAUCAGACAAUUGAACUCCAUCCCAUGUCCAUCCACACCUGUAAUUUGUCCUCUGUAAUACUGCACUACUUCAGUACUGUAUAAUGUAUAUACUGUGCAUAGCUGUACAUGUGUAAUAUAUGGUAUUCACAUAUAUUUAUAUUUGUAUGAAUAUUUGUACUGUACACUGGCAAUGACAAUAAAGUUAAUCUAAUCUAA